rnacentral:lncRNA from 1 species
UCUCAUGAGAUUUAUGGUCAACUCUCUUUUGGGUCAAUUAUCAAUCAACUCUCUUUUCUCUCUUUAAUCCUUCAAAUUGUUUUUUUUCAUUGAACAUUUUGAAAGCGAUUAGGAAGUUCUUAUGGAUUUCUCCACCUAGACGCUAAUUGAAAUGGGAAAUAAACCUCCAUGAAUCAACUCUUAUAGCAAAGUUGACAUCAACCACAAUUGUCACCAUAAUGGCUUGCAAAUUCCCCAUCUAUCUUUCCAGUUUCCAAACCUAAAAAAGAAUUUGCAUCAUCUUCUUCAAUCUCUCUUUCUCUCUCUUUUUUUCUCUCUCUCUCAAUAGAUAUGAUAAUUUAUUCCGCCACGGGGUUGCCAUCCUUCGUGACAAUCACCACCCUGACCAUCCUUCUCCACAGCCGCCACUACACUCCACUAACCUACAAACUCACCCACAUCGACGAAUAUGAGAAUUAGUAAGAACACAACCAGGUAUACAUCUUUAAAUCGUCCCUGCUAUUAUGUGUGUUUAACUGUGUGCGCCUGUGCUUUUAACUAUGUGUGUACUUCAAUUUCAUGGGUCUAAAUCUAGAUUUGGAAACCACCAUCACUAAUUUCUGCUUUAUAAUUUAAUUGGAUUUAAUUUUGAUUUUCUAGGUUCGAAUUAUUCUCCAUACAUUAUGUUCUUAAAUGAAGGAGAAGGAAUUUGGUUUUUAUUUUUCUUCUUAAUGCAACCUAUUCAACUGUAUGUAUUUAAUUGAGGUUAUUGCUACACUCAGACUUUUGCAGUGUGUUUUUGCAAAUGAGAAAUCUUCCAUUAAUGCUUUGAUUGUAGUCUAAGAAACACUUCUUGCACUCUAAAAUUUUAGUAAUUCCUUUCCCCCUUUCUUAAUUUCUCUCAUCCCUUAUACUAUUAUAAGUUUUUAUGUCCUCGGUUUGCUCUUAAACGUAUUAAUCCAAUCUCAUCUUAAUUAGGUGUUCCUUGAACUUUUUUAUCGACGCCUACAAUUUCAAGAACUUUUCUUUUGAUUCAAUUAAUUAGUAAUUCUUUGUAAUUAUAUGUUUGGAAUUUUUCAUCUACCUACGGUAUCAUUGCGGUAUCAAUGUGUGUUCAUUGUGUGAGAGAGAAAUAGGGUUAUCUUAUUAUAUAUCUUAUUACCCUUGCCUUUAAUCUAAUUGUGUGAAUUAUACUGAAUUUUUCAGAAAAUAGGAAGUAACAUACUCAAUUCCCAGUUGCAAUGCGACAAACAUGUGACAUUUACAUCUUACUGAUCAAUUUACCUUACUACCCCUGCUUUUGAUAUAAUUUACCAAAAUUCCAACAACAUUCAUAGUGAUGAAAACAAAUUAUCCAAACAAAAUUCGGCCUUUUAUAUUAUUUAUCCAUCCUUAAUUGUUCUUUACUUUAUCCUGGUAAUGGUUUCCUGUACAUCUUUCUCUUUUCUUGAUCGAUUUCUCAUUUCAUUUUGUAACAAAAUGAGAGGAUAGUGAUGGAUUUUGGCAUAAACCCUUAAAAAGCUUAAAAAUUUAACUUAUGUGGGUAACAUCGAAACCACAAGUAGCAAAAGAGUAAAGCUUCCCGAAAAGGUAAUUAGUAGCAUAUAGAAAGUUUAUUUUUCAUAAUAUGAGGUUUAUGUGUGUGUUUAUAUUGAUGUUAAUAACGACAUUAUACUUUUAAGUUUGUUGCUAUUAUUAGACUAGAAGGUUAAUGUCUGACGUAUUUCCUAAUGCUUUAUACAUGAAAAUCAAUUUGUUAUGAUCGUCCAUUGUUAUGAACAUAAGCUUUAUCUUAAAGCUACUUAUCAUUUUAAUGCUAAUGAUCACAAAAUUUGUCUUGAUAAGUUUCCUAAUAAUUUAUAAAGAGAAUCAGUUUGUUAUCAAUAUGUUAUGACCAGAGUCAUUUUACCUUUUUAAUGUAUAAACAUGAUAGAUGUUAAAAUAAGCUAGUGGGAAAGGGAAUAUGCAUGUCAUAUUAUGUUUUAGUGUGAUGGAGUGAAAACUUGUGAAGGUAACUUAUGUCAUUUUAUUUUGAGAAAUUGUUAUAUGAAUUUCGUGUGAACAAUUUUAAGGUUUUGCCCUUAAGUGAUAGAACCUGUUGGUGUUUGUGUUGCAUGAUAAAUUUUAUUUUGAGAAAUUUCUAUACUUUUACCCAUAUUUGUAAACGAAAUUGUCAAUAAAAUUAAUGAAAAUAGUAUAAAUGUAUAUAGGGGGUAUGAUUUUUUUUAUUAUUUUUAUUCUUAUCCUUUAUUUGUAUCCUACAUUUUUCAAUAUUUAAAUAUCUAUUUGUUUUUGUUCAUCUUUAUAGUUUACAUGUCUAUUUCAUUUUUAAUAUUAUUGUCCUACGUUUUUCAAUCUUUAUAGAUUGGUUUGUUUAUGUUCAUCUUUAUAGUUUAAACUUCUAUAACAGGAAGAAACAAAAGCACAAUGCUAUAAUUUGGAAGACUUAUCAAACUGAAAUGCUAUAGUAGGUGUGUUUAAUUAUUAUACUUUGAUUCUUCUUGGUUCCUGUUUUGUGAUUUCAUUCUCUUUAAUAUAAUUUGUUGCUCAGGGGUAAAAUCGUCAAAAUUGCCAAAACCUGGAUCCCAAGUGAGAAAUGACUUCAUGCCUUCAGGUGAACCAAAAUAUUAGGGUAUAAAUGGCCAAAACAUGAAAUCUAAAUGACAUAAAGACGUAAAUUACCAAUUAAAACUCCGACACCAGUAACUAUUUCCAAUAGCAAAUUCACGGCAUAAACCAAGUUAACUAUCCUAGAAUUUUAAAAUAUGUUAAUGGUUUUAUCAUUCCUAAUUUUUGAUGUCAUGCUUCGUCUAACAAUCCAAUAUUUUCCUAUUUGUCAUAUGGUUUUGUUUCAAAUGGUUUUAUUCAAUGCAAUGUUUCCUAGCAAUAUGUAACCAAUGAUGUUUUUUUGGAAUACAAUAAAUGAUGUUGACAAUAUGUUUGAUGAAAUGCUUAAGAGAUACGUGAAUCCAAGUGGUGCAAGGAUAUUUUACAAGAAAAAACUAUGUUUUUUACUUAAUUCAAGUGAUGGUACUACUCAUGUAAUCAUAGUGAUUUGUAACUUAAUGUUUUCGUGAUGAUACCGAUGUAAAGUUCAAGAUUUGAUUUGAAUGAAAAAUCAUGACAAAAAAGUGAACACCCGAUAUAUGUAUUUUUAAUAUCAUCGUAAAUUAUUUACCACUUGCAUAUGUUUGCAUUUGUUGUUAAUGUUUACGAAGCAAUGUAUGUAAUUUGAGGCAAUAUCAGACAUCAAACUUUUAGUUCAGUAGUGCUUACGAAUCAAUGGUCAUAAAUGAGAGUUCAAAUGUUUACACUUGCAUUUUUUUGUUAUGACCAUAAAUAAAAGUCAAAGACUAUUAUUGUAUAAUGUUGAUUUGUUUAUGAGAAC